AUCUGAGGCAGACGUGUGGGUACAGAAACGGCCGCCACUGGCGAGCCAGCGCCGCAUGUGGGAGGCUGGCUCUCUGGGCCUCGUCUAUUCCCCGGGUUCCUGUAAGCGGCCCACACCCAGAAAGGAAGGCGGGAUGCUGCCUUAAGCGAGAUGCUCUCGACCGCGGCUUUCUAGGUCAGCACUACCUCCGCGUUGGACUAAAUCCGUGUGCAGGUCUCCCCACGCCUCACUGAAAUAAUGUGCGGGUUUCCCCCGCCAUCCUUGCUCCUCUAGAAACGCUCCUUCAUCAGACCGCCAAUCCAGAACUUCACAAACAGCAUUUCCUAUAAACUGCUACGGGUUUAUUCAUCCGAUUGCAUUUCCCUCCAUGUAAAGAAGGAAUUAACAGCUUUGAGUGAAACAUACAACUAAACAACAACAACAACAACAACAACAACAAAAACUUCUUUACGCCCCGUAGCAGGUCUUUCAGUAAAUGCCCACUGACAGUCAGUGUGGUACGGGGUGCCCCAGUGGGACAGGCACGGGGAGACCUCCAUAUACAAUGUUCCCGCCACUCCAUUUCGUCUAACGCCGUGCUUAUAUUUAUAGCGACCGGCCAAUUUACUAUAGCUAACGAUCGCAGGCAGUUCGGAAACAAAUGAACAUAGACUUUUUGUCUUGUGCGUGUUUUUGUCCAGGUUUGGCUCAGAAGGAAGCAGAUUUGCCCACAAGGCAGGUAAAAGAGCGACAGGGGGCAAGGGGGGGCUACGAUACGAGUGGCGAUGCCGCGAUCCUCGCCGGCGGCGCCGCACAGCCAGCGCCCUGCUCUCGACUACGGGAUGUUUCCCCUGACAUUUGCGGUAAUGCUGGCUCUCGACGGCUGCUGCGCAUCUGCAGUUGUCACCGCAGUGAUCAGAAUAUAACUGAGAGUUCUCAGUUUUCGUGUCUCGGAGGUGAUAUAGUGCUUCUGUUUUCCAUUUUAACACACUUUGCGACGAAAUUCAAACGUCUGAAUUUUCCCCUUGCGCUAUUAUUUGUCUCGGAUGAUGAGAAAGGAAAGCCUCCCCCCUCCGCUCCGUGGGACUGCAGCCCUAGUGCCCGCUUGCCUGUCGAUGAAAGUUUACCGUGUCAUGCGCAACCGGCUCUCCCACUCGGGAAUACCGAGAAGAGCUGGCAAGCGCGCCGGAUGACAGGUGCUGGAAGGCAGAGAGCGGAAUGCAGAUAAAAGGAGAAGGACGACAACCCCCACUCUGCUAUAUGCUGGCAAAAUUACAGCUAAAAGAAGAAGCAGGGAUCACAGUGUUAAACCCUCACAAACUGUCAUCGGCAAGAAUUAUCACAGAAAACAAAUGACAUUCAGGACUGAAUGAUGAUGUAAUGCAUCCAAUGAUACAUCUUCACUUCAGCUCACAGGAAGACUGGGCCUGAGGUACUGCGAGAACACUUUACAGAGUAAGCCAUGUUUACCAUGUCUGCCAUGCGCUACAGGACGAGGUUGAUGCACGUCUGAGGAGCCUCCAGACGGUAAACAGGCUAUUGUUAAAGGCGAGCUGUGGUGCAACACAACCCUGGGGCUAAUUAAUGGCCCCCAUUGGCUGAGGACAGACAGGACUGUGGCCAUAGCGAUGACUUCCAGAACAAGCCGUUUGAACUGCACAGAAUUGCUGGGCUCUCGCAGGAUUCAAUUCCAGAGCCGAGGCAAGGAAAAACACGAAAAACUCACAGUUGUUUCCAUUUUAAGUUUAUAUUUACACACUUCAAACUAAUGCUGGAGAGGAAUCAGAUUUGCAAUUAUAUUCAUAUUCACAACUUGUGAUUACCUUGUUUUUAAGCUACCUAUAAAAAAGGUUUUUCUUAUGCAUUGUAUCUGAAAUCUAACUCCAUUCAAUUUUACUUUGUUUUGAACCUUUGGAAUCAAACCAUUUUUUUUAUUACACUUCACGUGAAUCUCACUUGAAAAAACUAAGUUGGGUAAAUCAGAAAAAGAGGGUUUUUAUAUUAGAACUUGUAAAGCUGAAAGUGCUUUUAAAUCCACUCGUGUAAGACGAGAGAGCCACACAUUGAGUCUUCCUCAUAUAACAAGAUCGUUCCCGACAAGUCUUCCUCAUGAGACAGGACCACUCACUGCAAAUCGUCCUCACAUGACAGAACCACUUCCAGUGAGUCUUCCUCACACAACAGGACAGAUUCCACCAGGUCAUACUAAUGCAUCCUCAUCCAUCACUCCCAGCAGGUCUUCCUCACGACAGGACCACUCCUGGAAAGUUUUCAUCACGUAACAGGACCACUUCCAAGGAGUCUUCCUCAUGUAUCAGGACUGAUGCCAUAGAGUCUUCCACAUGUAUCAGGAUCGCCCCCAUAGAGUCUUCCUCAUGUAUCAGGACUGAUGCCAGAGUCUUCCUCAUGUAUCAGGAUCGCACCUGAAAAGUCUUCCACAUGUAUCAGGACCGCUCCCAUAGAGUCUUCCUCAUGUAUCAGGAUCGCCCCCAAGACAUCUCCUGGCAAGUCUUCCUCAUGUGACAGGACUGCUCCCGUCAAAGGCUUUAAAGGAAUACCACCCGCCCCCCUCCCCAUAGAACUACGAUACGUCAUCGUACCUCAGAUUCUACAUAAGGGGGGUACUGAGAGGGCCUAAUGAUGAACCUAGCACAUGGCGGGUGGGUGGGCUGUGGACUUCCUGUGUGGCAGGAGUUAUUAGAAAUGUUUGCUUCCCUACAGCCAACCCACUUGUGGCAAUCGCACCGACCUGCCUUGGAACAGGACGAUAUGUAUUCAGGACGAUACUUGUGGAACACAUGGUGUUAAAUCCAAUUACAGGUGAUGUUCCUGCAGUGAACUUAA